AGAGAGCCCGCCCCUUGGCCUUGGUCGUGACGUCGGGGGGCGAGGCUGGGAUCGGGUGCCACCCUUUUGGCUAAGUGGGCCGGUGGUGGUGUGGGCGUGGCUUGGCCGAAGCAGGGGGUGGCCCGCCUUGGCCGCUCACCUUUUGAGGUAGGUCCUCUGAAAUUCAGUCUCCAAGUCCCUAGUCUUUCUACUAGUCCGAGGUCGUUAAUCACCUAGUUCCGGGCCGGGGGAGUGGUUACGACACACCGGGUGUGAGCAGCCAGGUCCCUAUUCACCGUGGGCGUUGACCUAAGACGUCGUCCAACCGACUCAGCCUCUUGUCACCAAUUACAGCCACAGUUGAUGACAGGGGUGGGUAGAGCUCUCCUUAUGGACCUUAUCUACAUCGGAAGAUGCGGGAACGAUACAAACGGCUUAUGUGUUUGAGCCAGACUGUAAGCUGGCUUCUGCUUGGCUCAUCCACAGCUGGCUCUUCCCUACACCAUCAUGUACCGCACUGGCCCGUGUCUGAAGAUUUUCCUCAAUCCAAUGCAGGUGUAGUUGUUAUUAUUUUUGACUUUCUUUUAUACUGGUUAGUAUUUUUUUUUCUCCUCUAAAGAGUUUUUCUGGAUAGCUCAGCUGGCCUAGAACUUGAGAUUCUCUGGCUUCUGCCUCUGGAGUGCAGGGGUCAACCUGGUGUGGCCAUGAGGAACUAAGUCAGGGUCAUAGCAAGAUUGAGGCUGUUUAGUUUUAGUGAGAGCAAUCAGGGUUUUCAUACCUUUAUCAGAAACAGAAUACAAUGGCAAUUGCCCGUACAAAUAUGGGUGUAGUUGCCAGGAUACAAUGAAGUUUACAAGCUAUGCAGGGUACACUAGAUUAAUGUCUAAGACCAGUUGUUCUGCCAAGCUUCCAUCCUUCCUUGAUUAGUAAUGUAACAUACAGCAAAACAAACACAAAGUGGCCUGAACCCUUAACUGCCUGAAGGAGCACAACAGUCUCUCAGGAACUGGAAGGCACAUUGUGCCCCCCAGAGCCGUGGACUCUAACCUGAAAACCUAUGACACAUGUGUCUCAAGGCAGUUAGGCCAGGCCAAUUCCAUGAUUCCCUGCAAUUUCCUCUUUUUUAUUUUUUUGGUUUCUUUUUAUUUUUUAAUUUAGGGCAUGCAAGUCAAUCUGUAAAGCAGACAUGGGGUACCAAAUCAAUUUUCAGUCACGUAUAACCAGCAAAAAACUUCCUAGUGACAUUCCUAUGGACCAUAGUUUAGAAGUCCCAUUAAAGACAGAAAGAUAAUGACCAAAAAUCUUUUCCAAAUUUUGUGUAGCAGUGAAAGAGGAUAAUUUAUCUAGCUUUGAAUGUUGAAUUGUUAAUAUUUCAUCAUACAAGGCAUGAGCAUCAAUACUUAAAUUAUGACUGUCUCUGCUCAGGUAGCAAUAUGAUUAUCAGUGUAGGCACCCAUUGACAUAAACAGGAAAGUUAUUCUCUUCCCAGAUAACAAAGAGAAGCACAGGAAGAUCAGGUCCAUAAGCCUAAUAUGUCUCAGCAGGAGCAGAUGCAUUUAACAGAGACAGCACAGCAAACACAGCAGUUCUGCAGUCACACCCUUCCCCUGAGAUUUGGCCAUGUUUUCCCCCAGUCACUGGUUUCUUCAUCUGAGUCAUUGUUGGUAGGAAGAUUUUGUUCUGCACUGCUUGGAAUUUCCAUCAUCCUGUUCUCUUCCUCUCUUCAGGCAUAGCCUCUGCAGAUGUUUUGGAACCUCCUUGUCCAUCUUAGGUUGUCUUCUAGGUAUCCACAGUAGGCAUUGCUCUCUCUCUCUCUCUCUCUCUCUCUCUCUCUCUCUCUCUC